rnacentral:rRNA from 1 species
CCUACGGGUGGCAGCAGUGGGGAAUAUUGCACAAUGGGGGAAACCCUGAUGCAGCGACGCCGCGUGAGUGAAGAAGUAUUUCGGUAUGUAAAGCUCUAUCAGCAGGGAAGAAAAUGACGGUACCUGAUUACUAAGCCCCUGCUAACUACGUGCCAGCAGCCGCGGGCAUACGUAGGGGGCAAGCGUUAUCCGGAUAUACUGGGUGUAAAGGGAGCGGAGACCGCGGCACAAGUCUGGAGUGAAAGGCCGGGGCUUAACCCCGGAAAUGCUUUGGAAACUGUGCAGCUAGAGUGCAGGAGAGGGAAGUGGAAUUCCUAGUGUAGCGGUGAAAUGCGUAGAUAUUGGGAGGAACACCAGGGGCGAAGGCGGCUUACUGGACUGUAACUGACGUUGAGGCUCGAAAGCGUGGGGAGCAAACAGGAUUAGAUACCCGGGUAGUC